rnacentral:rRNA from 1 species
UACGAAGGGGGCUAGCGUUGUUCGGAAUUACUGGGCGUAAAGCGGCGCGCAGGCGGCUAUCCAAGUCAAGUGGUGAAAGCCCGGAGCUCAACUCCGGAACUGCCAUUGAAACUGUUUAGCUUGAGGACGAGAGAGGUGAGUGGAAUUCCCAGUGUAGAGGUGAAAUUCGUAGAUAUUGGGAAGAACACCGGUGGCGAAGGCGGCUCACUGGCUCGUAUCGACGCUCAGGCGCGACAGCGUGGGGAUCGAAACAAGG